GGUCACCAACAGCGGUGACGAUUAUAUGUACCAGGUCCUGGGCGUCCCCUAGGUCCACUCAGCCUCAAAUGAGUACCUGAGGGUCGAUCGAUGUGAUUCAUGGGGAGCCGCGGUGGCCAGAUGUCAACUACCUCGCCUCGUCUACAGAAGGUCGUGGAAGCGUAACCAAGUCGUCUCGGUGAAGUCGCCUACUCUAAAGCUACUAUGGGGACCACAUGGUGAACUGGCAGCUUCCCUCCCCUCCCUUAAUCCCGCCACAAAGACAAAGAUCCCCC